AGGGAAGGUCUAAUGUGACACUAAGAUCAUCAAAGGAUGAAAUUACAUGGGGUGCAUUUGGAUUGGGAUUAUUCAACGCGCUGAUGGUCAGAUCAGCAAUAAAAAUCUGGUAAAUGAAAGCCGGAUUGUGGAACUGAGAUGGGUAACAAAGAGUAAGAGAUGAAAGGGACGAUUUAAUGAUAUAUGGGUGUAUAAAUUCAGGUUGAUCACCGUUCUUGAGUAGGAAAUUUUGAAAGAAAGAAUUAGUGGGCAAAGGGUGUGUGAGGAGAUGAGGAGCAAAAAAAGGAGACGGGUCAGGUAGAACAGUGGAUUGGGUACCUGGGAAGAUGAAAGGCUGUGAAGAUGACGCCAUGGCAAAGGAUUGUGAGGAAGAUGAAGUUGGCUGUGAAUGGGUUAUAUAGGGUUUGGUAGG
rnacentral:misc_RNA from 1 species